GACGAACGCUGGCGGCGUGCUUAACACAUGCAAGUCGAACGGAAAGGCCCUGCUUUUGUGGGGUGCUCGAGUGGCGAACGGGUGAGUAACACGUGAGUAACCUGCCCUUGACUUUGGGAUAACUUCAGGAAACUGGGGCUCAUACCGGCUAGGAGCUCCUGCUGCAUGGUGGGGGUUGGAAAGUUUCGGCGGUUGGGGAUGGACUCGCGGCUUAUCAGCUUGUUGGUGGGGUAGUGGCUUACCAAGGCUUGGACGGGUAGCCGGCCUGAGAGGGUGACAGGCUACAUUGGGACUGAGAUACGGCACAGACUCCAACGGGAGGCAGCAGUGGGGUAGAUUGCACAAUGGGCGGAAGCCUGAUGCAGCAACGCCGCGUGGGGGAUGACGGCCUUCGGGUAGUAAUCCGCUUUCGCCUGUGACGAAGCGUGAGUGACGGUAAUGGGUAAAGAAGCACCGGCUAACUACGUG
rnacentral:rRNA from 1 species